GGGUGAGUAACACGUGGGCAACCUGCCCAAAAGAGGGGGAUAACACUUGGAAACAGGUGCUAAUACCGCAUAACCAUAGUUACCGCAUGGUAACUAUGUAAAAGGUGGCUAUGCUACCGCUUUUGGAUGGGCCCGCGACGCAUUAGCUAGUUGGUGGGGUAAAGGCUUACCAAGGCAAUGAUGCGUAGCCGAACUGAGAGGUUGAUCGGCCACAUUGGGACUGAGACACGGCCCAAACUCCUACGGGAGGCAGCAGUAGGGAAUCUUCCACAAUGGGCGAAAGCCUGAUGGAGCAACGCCGCGUGGGUGAAGAAGGUCUUCGGAUCGUAAAACCCUGUUGUUAGAGAAGAAAGUGCGUGAGGGUAACUGUUCACGUUUCGACGGUAUCUAACCAGAAAGCCACGGCUAACUACGUGCCAGCAGCCGCGGCAAUACGUAGGUGGCAAGCGUUAUCCGGAUUUAUUGGGCGUAAAGAGAACGCAGGCGGUCUUUUAAGUCUGAUGUGAAAGCCUUCGGCUUAACCGGAGUAGUGCAUUGGAAACUGGGAGACUUGAGUGCAGAAGAGGAGAGUGGAACUCCAUGUGUAGCGGUGAAAUGCGUAGAUAUAUGGAAGAACACCAGUGGCGAAAGCGGCUCUCUGGUCUGUAACUGACGCUGAGGUUCGAAAGCGUGGGUAGCAAACAGGAUUAGAUACCCUGGUAGUCCACGCCGUAA
rnacentral:rRNA from 1 species